rnacentral:tRNA from 1 species
GUUCGUGUAGUUGAAUUACAACGGUGGUUUUUCAGACCAUUAGUCCUGGUUAAAAUCCGGGCGGGAAUU